UACAGAGGGUGCAAGCGUUAAUCGGAAUUACUGGGCGUAAAGCGUGCGUAGGCGGUUACAUAAGUCGGGUGUGAAAGCCCCGGGCUCAACCUGGGAAUUGCAUUCGAGACUGCGUAGCUAGGGUGCGGAAGAGGGAAGCGGAAUUUCCGGUGUAGCGGUGAAAUGCGUAGAUAUCGGAAGGAACACCAGUGGCGAAGGCGACUUCCUGGCCUGUUCUUGACGCUGAGGCGCGAAAGCUAGGGGAGCAAACGGG
rnacentral:rRNA from 1 species